AUGAACGCUAGCUACAGGCUUAACACAUGCAAGUCGAGGGGCAGCAUGACCUAGCAAUAGGUUGAUGGCGACCGGCGCACGGGUGAGUAACACGUAUCCAACCUGCCGAUUAUUCCGGGAUAGCCUUUCGAAAGAAAGAUUAAUACUGGAUAGCAUAACGAGAAGGCAUCUUCUUGUUAUUAAAGAAUUUCGAUAAUCGAUGGGGAUGCGUUCCAUUAGUUUGUUGGCGGGGUAACGGCCCACCAAGACAUCGAUGGAUAGGGGUUCUGAGAGGAAGGUCCCCCACAUUGGAACUGAGACACGGUCCAAACUCCUACGGGAGGCAGCAGUGAGGAAUAUUGGUCAAUGGACGAGAGUCUGAACCAGCCAAGUAGCGUGAAGGAUGACUGCCCUAUGGGUUGUAAACUUCUUUUAUAUGGGAAUAAAGUGAGCCACGUGUGGCUUUUUGUAUGUACCAUACGAAUAAGGAUCGGCUAACUCCGUGCCAGCAGCCGCGGUAAUACGGAGGAUCCGAGCGUUAUCCGGAUUUAUUGGGUUUAAAGGGAGCGUAGGCGGAUUAUUAAGUCAGUUGUGAAAGUUUGCGGCUCAACCGUAAAAUUGCAGUUGAUACUGGUAGUCUUGAGUGCAGCAGAGGUAGGCGGAAUUCGUGGUGUAGCGGUGAAAUGCUUAGAUAUCACGAAGAACUCCGAUUGCGAAGGCAGCUUACUGGACUGUAACUGACGCUGAUGCUCGAAAGUGUGGGUAUCAAACAGGAUUAGAUACCCUGGUAGUCCACACAGUAAACGAUGAAUACUCGCUGUUUGCGAUAUACGGCAAGCGGCCAAGCGAAAGCAUUAAGUAUUCCACCUGGGGAGUACGCCGGCAACGGUGAAACUCAAAGGAAUUGACGGGGGCCCGCACAAGCAGUGGAGUAUGUGGUUUAAUUCGACGCAACGCGAAGAACCUUACCAGGGCUUGACAUAUAGAGGAAUAGCUUAGAGAUAAGUUAGCUCUUCGGAGUCUGUAUACAGGUGGUGCAUGGUUGUCGUCAGCUCGUGUCGUGAGAUGUUGGGUUAAGUCCCGCAACGAGCGCAACCCUUAUCUUUAGUUACUAACAGGUCAUGCUGAGGACUCUAGAGAGACUGCCGUCGUAAGAUGUGAGGAAGGUGGGGAUGACGUCAAAUCAGCACGGCCCUUACGUCCGGGGCUACACACGUGUUACAAUGGGGGGUACAGAAGGCAGCUACACAGCGAUGUGAUGCUAAUCCCAAAAGCCUCUCUCAGUUCGGAUUGGAGUCUGCAACCCGACUCCAUGAAGCUGGAUUCGCUAGUAAUCGCGCAUCAGCCACGGCGCGGUGAAUACGUUCCCGGGCCUUGUACACACCGCCCGUCAAGCCAUGAAAGCCGGGGGUACCUGAAGUACGUAACCGCAAGGAGCGUCCUAGGGUAAAACUGGUAAUUGGGGCU
rnacentral:rRNA from 1 species